UUUUCAGACGAUACAAUCUGCUUAGACGCUCCGCAGGACGCAGCCUCCGCUAUAGCCUCAGGCUCAGGUGACACCGUGACAGGGAUCCGCCCUUGCAUACACCCAACGACAUAGCAGAGGCAACACUAAUCGGAAAAUCGAACCCACCGAUCCGGCGAGAAACAUGCCUCCUCAGUCAUCAGGUUACUUUUCUGAAAGAAAAGAGUUGAUGGGAAUGGGUGGAGUUGGCAAAAAAAUAUAGGGUCGUCGCCGAGUGGUGUCGAAUACGGAAGAACUUCUGUUCAACCUAGGACGUUGCCAAGGAGACCUUCUCGAAUGUGCCGCCGUCACACGAGUAGAGAAAGGAGGAGGAGAGUAUGGCAAGAUAUUAAUGGCCACACAAGGGUUUGAUUGUAGAAGUAUACUUUUGAACAUAUUUUAAAAGAUGCCGAAUCUUCUUUUAUUUAAAAGUAUUGUUUUGAACACAUUCCAAAUUUUUUUUUUUUGAAUUUUCAUUUAUUUAUUUUUUCUGUCCACCAGAUAUUACUGCUGCUCAAGUGGUUGAACUAGCUAUCAAAGAUAUUAACACCUUGUGGCGGCUUAUGGUGGGAGUGAUAGGUCGGGAUUUAUUUUUGUUUCUUAACCGACUGAAUUGGUAGCUUUCACCGACUCAGCGAAUAGACCGUUAGCCGAAGGUUUUGGAACUCGUUUGGAUCGUCAAAAGGUCAAACUGGGUCGUCGCCGAGUGGUGUCGAAUACGGAAGAACUUCUAUUCAACCUAGGACAUUGCCAAGGAGACCUUCACGAAUGUGCCGCCGUCACACGAGUAGAGAAAGGAGGAGGAGAGUAUGGCAAGAUAUUAAUGGCCACACAAGGGUUUGAUUGUAGAAGUAUACUUUUGAACAUAUUUUAAAAGAUGCCGAAUCUUCUUUUAUUUAAAAGUAUUGUUUUGAACACAUUCCAAAUUUUUUUUUUUGAAUUUUCAUUUAUUUAUUUUUUCUGUCCACCAGAUAUUACUCCUGCUCAAGUGGUUGAACUAGCUAUCAAAGAUAUUAACACCUUGUGGCGGCUUAUGGUGGGAGUGAUAGAUCGGGAUUUAUUUUUGUUUCUCAACCGACUGAAUUGGUAGCUUUCACCGACUUAGCGAAUAGACAGUUAGCCGAAGGUUUUGGAACUCGUUUGGAUCGUCAAAAGGUCAAACUGGUGGGUUGAUCAGUUUUUAUCGGAUGAUUUCGAGGAAUCUUUUUUUUAACCCGGAAAGAAUCCAGUUUUAAACGGCCCAACUCGCAAAUAUCGGCAGCGUAGAGUGUCUUUUGGCACAAUUCAAUCGUUUAAGGCUCGGGAAUGGCGUUUUUUCAAUUUGGAAUAUUUCAGGAUUUUCGUUGGAAGUCUAAAUGGAUUCGAUUUGCAUUGUUUUUUGGUAUUUAGUAGUUGGUUGUAAUUAGGUUUCUUUCCUUAUUUUUACAAUAGAGCAAGUUUGUUUUUGAGCAGUUUCCUUGCGCCGCUAAUUUCCUUACGUUUUUAAGAUUUCUUUUAUGCUGUUAUGAGUUUUAUUUAUAAAUACAUGUAUUGUAGAGUAGAUCAUUCAUUCAAUUAUUAAUAUGUUAUCAG